UCUCGAGCGGACGGCAUCGUACCGCCGCCGGCCAUCCCUCCUCUGGCCCCCUCCCACCGCCUUCUGGCCUUACCGCGCAUCCGCUCGCCAGUCCCGGCUCUCCUUUACCGCGAAGCCUGAAGCCAUAGCCGCACCCCGACCACGAAGCCGGCGCCCGAUCCACUCGCUCUGACCUUGAUAGCGCCGUCGGACACCGUCCGUCGACCCCGUCGCCCGUACCUUGACUGAGUCACCGGAAGCAGCCGCCCGACCCCUACCCCGUCGCCCCUACAACAAUGCCGUGCGCCCUCCCUAUCGACCCUGUGCUGCUUCACCCUACCUCGACCUCGCAUCCAGACGUCGUUGCUCUACCUCAGUGAGCUUUUGUAUGCCUUGUGGAUUGUUGCUGUGUUCUGUCUUCCAGUAGCGGCUUUGUCAAGAUGGUUGGUUGCUAAGAUGGUCAAUUGUGGGAAGGCGGUCGACACCGGCGGCCAAGAAGGCAACAUCGAGUAGCUCCAAGGUCGGGCUGCAAUUCCCCGUUGGCAGGAUCGCCAGAUUCCUCAAGGCCGGCAAGUACGCCGAGCGCUUAGGCACUGGUGCCCGCAUCUACCUCGCCGCUGUUCCACAAGUACCUCGCCGCUGAUGCCCUGGAGCUGGCUGGCAACGCUGCCGAUGCCAGGGACAACAAGAAGACCCAUAUCAUGCACCGCCACAUCCAGCUCGCCGUGCGCAAUGGCGAGGAGCUAUAUAUCUCAGGUUGGUUGUAGGGAACACAAGACAAACAGGAGCAAGUCCGUCCAUGUCGGACCCUUUUCAUUUAUUUAUUUUGCGAAUUCCUUUUCAUUUAUUCGUGAGCAUAUGUAUGCUACUAUUCUUGUCUGAAAUUCCUUUUAUCUUUGCAUGAUCGGAGCCAUGAGGAUUGCUACUCCGUAAGCAGCAGCGUACUCCUAGAUGACAACUUGCCCGAAUGAGCUGAUGAUGGUUUCUUGGAAAUAUAUAGACCUAUAUGAUUUAUUGUUGGGACAGGAGGGGGCCAACAUCCAGCAAGAUAUGGUGCUGCAAAAUGAAUGUGGGGUUUGUCUAGCUAAUCAGGUUGGUGUGGUGCAGUACCCUCUGCUGUUCAUAUCUUCUUUUUUUGUUGCAAUUCUGACGUCCUGAUUCAGUUGCUUAGUUGUGAUAGAUUUCCAUUCACUUGGUCUAUAGAUAUCCAGAAACCUGUGAUGAAACAUGUUGCUUGAAUUGUCAACUCCAUCGCUGGCUAUAUAUUAGACUUACUACACUUUUUGCAUUAUCUUCUUCGGUGAAAAUUUGUUAUAUGCUAGGAAACAAGCUGCUUCAAAUAAACAGACCUAAAUACAUUCUUAGUCCAAUAGUUAAUUAGUAUAACUAUGGCACCACCUAGCUUGCUAUUUUUGACCUUCAAGCCAUCCAUUAGUCCUAUGUCGCUGCCCCAAUGCACUUGCUUCUUUGUACUGUAUUUUGCUUACCAUCCUAUCAAUUGUUUUGGACAAUAUCUCUAGAUGUGUGGUUCAUCUACUUACUGCAUGAGACAUCUUUCCA